AAGUUAUCAUGAAAGGUUGAGGGACUAGACCCGUUGAAACCUUGGCAACCUCCUUUUUUUAAAAGAAAAGGUGCCACAUUCUACAAAUGUUUACUGAACUUGUUUCAGUAUUCAGUUGACAGAUAACAG
rnacentral:ncRNA from 2 species